rnacentral:rRNA from 1 species
GAGUUUGAUCCUGGCUCAGAUUGAACGCUGGCGGCAUGCCUCACACAUGCAAGUCGAACGGCAGCACGGGAGCUUGCUCCUGGGUGGCGAGUGGCGAACGGGUGAGUAAUGCAUCGGAACGUAUCCUGGAGUGGGGGAUAACGUAGCGAAAGUUACGCUAAUACCGCAUAUUCUGUGAGCAGGAAAGCGGGGGACCUUCGGGCCUCGCGCUCUUGGAGCGGCCGAUGUCGGAUUAGCUAGUUGGUGAGGUAAAGGCUCACCAAGGCGACGAUCCGUAGCAGGUCUGAGAGGAUGAUCUGCCACACUGGAACUGAGACACGGUCCAGACUCCUACGGGAGGCAGCAGUGGGGAAUUUUGGACAAUGGGGGCAACCCUGAUCCAGCCAUGCCGCGUGAGUGAAGAAGGCC